rnacentral:rRNA from 1 species
UACAGAGGGUGCAAGCGUUAAUCGGAAUUACUGGGCGUAAAGCGUGCGCAGGCGGUCUUGCAAGACAGAUGUGAAAUCCCCGGGCUUAACCUGGGAACUGCAUUUGUGACUGCAAGGCUGGAGUACGGUAGAGGGGGAUGGAAUUCCGCGUGUAGCAGUGAAAUGCGUAGAUAUGCGGAGGAACACCGAUGGCGAAGGCAAUCCCCUGGACCUGUACUGACGCUCAUGCACGAAAGCGUGGGGAGCAAACAGG